UCGGGCAACUCUGAAAAGUAGUGUCCGCAUCGACACUCGCCGACGGGGCAAGCGCGGUCCGCGUGAAUCUCUCAGGCCAUAGGACAGAGCGGGAGGA
rnacentral:ncRNA from 2 species